GCUGGCCGUAGUCGGGCUGACCCGACGGCUUCUGGAACGGAUCCUGACCGUAGGGCUGGUUCGGGUCCUGCGGCUGGCC
rnacentral:tRNA from 1 species